rnacentral:tRNA from 1 species
GCCGACGUAGCUCAGUUGGUAGAGCAGUAGUUUUGUAAACUAUUGGUCGGGGGUUCGAGUCCCUUCGUCGGCUCCA